rnacentral:rRNA from 1 species
UACGGAGGGGGCUAGCGUUGUUCGGAAUUACUGGGCGUAAAGCGGGUGUAGGCGGAUUGCUAAGUCGGGGGUGAAAGCCCAGGGCUCAACCCUGGAAUUGCCUUCGAUACUGGCAGUCUCGAGUGCAGGAGAGGUGAGCGGAAUUCCGAGUGUAGAGGUGAAAUUCGUAGAUAUUCGGAGGAACACCAGAGGCGAAGGCGGCUCACUGGACUGUUACUGACGCUGAGACCCGAAAGCGUGGGGAUCAAACAGG